UCUUUCGCAAUGGGCGCAAGCCUGACGAAGCGACGCCGUGUGAGCGAAGAAGGCCUUCGGGUUGUAAAGCUCUUUCGCUAGGGAACAAGAGAUAUGGGAUAACACCCCAUUGAUUUGAUGGUACUUGGUAAAGAAGCACCGGCUAACUCCGUGCCAGCAGCUGCGGUAAUACGGAGGGUGCAAGCAUUGAUCGGAAUUACUGGGCGUAAAGGGCGCGUAGGCGGCAAUGAAAGUCAGAUGUGAAAUUCCGGGGCUCAACCCCGGAGCUGCAUUUGAAACUUCAAGGCUAGAGUUCAGUUAGGGUAAACGGAAUUCCACGUGUAGCGGUGAAAUGCGUAGAUAUGUGGAAGAACACCGGUGGUGAAGACGGUUUACUGGGCUGAGACUGACGCUAGCGCGAA
rnacentral:rRNA from 1 species